rnacentral:rRNA from 3 species
ACCUGCUGCUGGAUCAUUACCU